CCACGUCGGGGCAGCCCCGGCCAGACGCCCGUCCACCGCGCAUGUCCUUGUGGGCAUGGCGCCCCAGAACCCGCGUGCUCAGCAUGUCCUGGGCGAGCCUGUGUGGUCACAGCUGCUUUCCCGUCCACCCUCUGCUCCACAAUCCCCUCGGCCCCAUGUCACUCAAAGUGACACAGGUGUCAGCUUUGCAGUAAUAGUUGCAACAUGUUGUAUGAAGUUAAAUCUGUUUUGAUAUUUAAAUUAAAAUAGUUUUUGGAGGCAUUUCCCCCCUAAUAUACAGACUCAUACAGCAGCAGGUUAAAAACCCAGUUCCUCAAACUGAGCAGCGCUGGCCCGUCUCCACCAGGUUUUGCCCCGGUGCCGAUGGCUGCGUGUUUGUCCCGAGGCGUCUGAGAUCCACUUCCUGUGCCUCAGGUCACAGCUGCUUAUUUAAAGACAGGUCUGUUAGGUUCCACUGUUUCCCUGAAGGAAAAAAUAUUUAAGGAGGGAGAGCUUGAGCACAUAUUUUGUAAUUUGAAAUAAAUCAAAUGCUAUUCCCCGUGCGUUUGAAAACAGGAUGGUUUUGGUGGGAGGGGCAGGCGUUCGGUUGACGUGGAGUUUUCGCGCGUCCGUUCAUCAAGAAUUAACUGCAGCUUCCUUUCCAGACGCGUGGCGGUUUCCGUGCGGUGACUGGACGGGGACACGGUCGACGUCCCUCGGACCGGGAGGCCUGGGCCGAGGGACGGGCCCCUCCGGAGGUGGCUCCAGCAGGUGCCUGGGGUUUCCACGGGGUCCGCCGGCCCGGCCAGGAUGACCAGGGUCUCCUUCUGGCUCAUUGUGUGGCCAGGAGCACUUUCACGGCCUCGAUGGACUUGCCCAGGGCUCCACCCUGAAGUCAGCUAAGGAGCCCCAAGGAGACGGACGCCUCCGCUGCGGACAAUGGUUUUGAGGCGGCCAGGCUGGAACAGGCGCUUGGCACUUGGGGGCGGACGCUUGCACGGGCCUCUGUGCCGCGGGCAGCCUGGCGUCGGGUCCAGGUGGCCAGCAGGUGAUGGCAGAGCUGGCACCAGGCGUCGGUGUGAGCCUUUAGAACGGUCACUUCCCAAUCCUUCACCAGGCCUGGUGAAGGCCUUUCAGUGCCCAGUGGCGGGCAGGUAGGACAGGUGUACCUCCAGCCUCCAGGCAGUGGGGAUUGUGCCAGGUCUUGGAACAAAAUGUCGCUGAGCCCGUUACCUUCCAGAAAGAUGUGAGGAUGAAGCCCAGCCUCCACGGCCUCGGAGUGCCCUGCCUGCCGCAUGUGAGGGAGACAGAGUUACCAAACUGGCUGCCUCUCAGAAAGAGCACAUUGUCCCUGCUGGUGUCCAGCCGCCCUGGACACGUCGGGCCCACGUCUGCGGGUGGCCGAGGGUGCAGGGACUCCAGGACCCUUGGCCAAGCAGCAGGUGGACUUAGGAAGGAAGCAGGCGGCCCAUGCCAGGUUCCGAAUUCCUGGAGUUGCCAGGCCCAUUCCCACCCCCCGUGGCCGUGGCCAUGGUCAGGGCGUGGUCCACGUGCAGCUCAGGCUGCCCACCUGCCCCAGUCCCUGCAGUCUUUAUAAUCAUUAGAUGAGUUCUGAAGAUGGAGAAAAGUUGGGCUUUGAGAGAGGCCCAGGAUGCUUGUUGCCAAGGUGACCUCACCGGAGCAGUGUCCCCGGGAGUUCAAAGACCUGUCGGUGGUGUCACUCCUUCUGAGAGGGUUUAUUAAGUGCCUGUUUGCAUAUAAACAACAUUUCUGAGAAAAGGAAGCUUUCCUUUCCUUUUUUGCUGGUCACGGUGGGAUUUUUGGCUGUUAGGUCGCAGAGAUUGUGUGUCCAGAUGGGGUUACGCUGUUGUAGAAUGCACGUGUGCACCACCCACGUUGGGCCCUGGGUUACCUGCGCCCCCAGGGAUGCGACCCUGUGGCUGCUUCCCUGUUACUUGCUCGCUUGUGGGACUUUUCCCUGCGUGGGUGGAGCGUGACCCGCGCCUGCAAGGAAGCCUGCCCUGUGGAGAGGCCCCGCACUGUUGUGCGAAAAGGCUUUGUUAAUUUUUUUAAAUAAUGAAGAAAUUUCAGAAAGUUUCCGUUGUACCUAAAAGAAAUAGGUUUGUUCAUUGAAGCAGUAUUUACAAUAUCCAAGAUAUGGAAACAACCUGAGUGUCCAUCAGUGGAUGAAUGGCUAAAGAAAAUUCAGUGUGUAUACACACACACACACACACGUGGGCUAUUACUCAGCCAUAAAAAAGAAUGAAAUCAUGACACUUGCAGCAACAUGGAUGGACCUAGAGCUUAUCAUACUAAGUGAAGUAAGUCAGACAGAGAAAGACAAAUACUGUGUGUCAUCACUUACAUGUGGAGCCUAAGAACAAAAAGAGACAAACAAAAAAAAACAAACAAACCCACAGAUACAGAGAACAGUUUGGUGAUUUCCAGGGGUGGGGGUGGGAGAAAUGAAUGAACUGUUUUGGUGCAUUUUUUAGUUUACGUGAGUUGAAUUUCUUUUUCAGAUAGAGAGAGAAAGAGAGAUAAUAUCUUUUCUUUUAAAAAAGAUGUAUAGAUGGUAAAGUGAUGGGAACAUAGGAAACAUUUUAAGAUAGAUGGCCCCUGAGUUUGUUCUUAGUUCUAAUAUUAUUUCCCUUAAAACAGUACUGUCAUCCAACAUAAGAAAUUUUAAGCAAGUUCAUUUAGGUAUUCCAUUGCUUACAUUUUAUUGAAUUUCUCAUUGAAAUAUCCUGGCUCAGGAAUUGAUUUCAAAGAGUUUUGAAAAAUUUAUCAAUAUGUAAUGUUAAUCUUUCUUGAAUACAAAGGAUUGCAAUAAUAAAAGGCUGGUAAUUUAGGUCUC